GUGCCAGCCGCCGCGGUAAUACGGAGGGUGCAAGCGUUAAUCGGAAUUACUGGGCGUAAAGCGCGCGUAGGUGGUUUGUUAAGCGGAAUGUGAAAGCCCCGGGCUUAACCUGGGAACUGCAUUGCGAACUGGCAAACUAGAGUACAGUAGAGGGUAGUGGAAUUUCCUGUGUAGCGGUGAAAUGCGUAGAGAUGGGAAGGAACAUCAGUGGCGAAGGCGACUGCCUGGACUGAUACUGACACUGAGGUGCGAAAGCGUGGGGAGCAAACAGGAUUAGAUACCCGUGUAGUCCC
rnacentral:rRNA from 1 species